rnacentral:rRNA from 1 species
UACGUAGGAUCCAAGCGUUGUCCGGAUUUACUGGGUGUAAAGGGUGCGCAGGCGGUCUGGUUAGUCAGGGGUGAAAUCCCGUCGCUUAACGACGGACCUGCCUUUGAUACUGCCAGUCUUGAAUUAGGGAGAGGUUCGUGGAAUUCCGAGUGUAGCAGUGAAAUGUGUAGAUAUUCGGAAGAACACCAGUGGCGAAGGCAGCGAACUGGCCCUAUAUUGACGCUCAGGCACGAAAGCAUGGGGAUCAAACAGG